CAGCACUGAACCUCGUGUCUCCGGAUACCGAGGAAUGUAGUGUUCAGGAGAGAGGUGGUUUGCCUGUCCGGUGAUUGUCCAAGUCCCCAUGAUCGGGGCUAGAGUCCGCAGAGGGUGUCAGGCCCGUAGUGACGCACCGCGACCGUGAACGCUUGAUCUCCUAAGAGUCGGGUUGCUUGAGAGUGCAGCCCUAAGCGGGAGGUAAACUCCUUCUAAGGCUAAAUACCGCCACGAGACCGAUAGCAAACAAGUACCGCGAGGGAAAGUUGAAAAGAACUUUGAAGAGAGAGUUCAAGAGUGCGUGAAACCGUUCAGGGGGUUAAACGGGUGGGCCCUCGAAGGUCGAACGGCAUCUACUCCCGUUACCUGCAUACGAGCCUGCGCUGGGACGAGUCGCAUUCUGCGGCCGCCGAGUGUGGUACGCUUGGGGCGUGCAGGGACCGCUAGUUGGAUGCCUAGUAGGACUCCGCAACCGGCUGGGGUGAUACGGUCGUCAGACGGGUCUUGAAGAGCGGCCUCCUUGUGGGGCUGUCUUUUUGAGAUUCCCGGCGACCACUCGGCCGUUGAGUGCUGCCUCGCUGUUCCUCAUGGAUGGACGAGCGUUUUGACCUUUGCGGGGAGAAGCGUUGUCGGUUCGUUCGAGGCUCCGGUGAGAAGCGCGGAGAGUAGGUCGGGUCCCACCCGACCCGUCUUGAAACACGGACCAAGGAGUCUAACAUGUGCGCGAGUCGUCGAGUUGUACCAAACUCGAAGGCGCAAUGAAAGUAAAGGCUAGGCUUGCCCUAGCUGAGGGGAGAUCCCGUUUCUGCUUCGGUAGCGCGGGCGCAUCCCCGGGGCGUCUAGACUGCGUUGCCAGUCGGACGCACCUAGAGCGUACACGUUGGGACCCGAAAGAUGGUGACCUAUGCCUGGCCAGGACGAAG
rnacentral:rRNA from 1 species